rnacentral:rRNA from 1 species
AGGAGCUUGCUUCUCUGGAUGAGUUGCGAACGGGUGAGUAACGCGUAGGUAACCUGCCUGGUAGCGGGGGAUAACUAUUGGAAACGAUAGCUAAUACCGCAUAAGAGUAGAUGUUGCAUGACAUUUGCUUAAAAGGUGCAAUUGCAUCACUACCAGAUGGACCUGCGUUGUAUUAGCUAGUUGGUGAGGUAACGGCUCACCAAGGCAACGAUACAUAGCCGACCUGAGAGGGUGAUCGGCCACACUGGGACUGAGACACGGCCCAGACUCCUACGGGAGGCAGCAGUAGGGAAUCUUCGGCAAUGGACGGAAGUCUGACCGAGCAACGCCGCGUGAGUGAAGAAGGUUUUCGGAUCGUAAAGCUCUGUUGUAAGAGAAGAACGAGUGUGAGAGUGGAAAGUUCACACUGUGACGGUAUCUUACCAGAAAGGGACGGCUAACUACGUGCCAGCAGCCGCGGUAAUACGUAGGUCCCGAGCGUUGUCCGGAUUUAUUGGGCGUAAAGCGAGCGCAGGCGGUUAGAUAAGUCUGAAGUUAAAGGCUGUGGCUUAACCAUAGUACGCUUUGGAAACUGUUUAACUUGAGUGCAAGAGGGGAGAGUGGAAUUCCAUGUGUAGCGGUGAAAUGCGUAGAUAUAUGGAGGAACACCAGUGGCGAAGGCGACUUUC